rnacentral:rRNA from 1 species
GACGAACGCUGGCGGCGUGCUUAACACAUGCAAGUCGAACGAUGAACCGGAGCUUGCUCUGGGGAUCAGUGGCGAACGGGUGAGUAACACGUGGGCAACCUGCCCCAGACACCGGGAUAACCAUUCGAAAGGAUGGCUAAUACCGGAUACGACCACUUCGGGCAUCCGAUGGUGGUGGAAAGGAUUCUGGUCUGGGAUGGGCCCGCGGCCUAUCAGCUUGUUGGUGGGGUAAUGGCCUACCAAGGCGACGACGGGUAGCCGGCCUGAGAGGGCGACCGGCCACACUGGGACUGAGACACGGCCCAGACUCCUACGGGAGGCAGCAGUGGGGAAUAUUGCGCAAUGGGCGAAAGCCUGACGCAGCGACGCCGCGUGAGGGACGAAGGUCUUCGGAUUGUAAACCUCUUUCAGCAGGGAUGAAGCGAAAGUGACAGUACCUGCAGAAGAAGCACCGGCUAACUACGUGCCAGCCGCCGCAGUAAAAC